CAUAUCAAUAAGCGGAGGAAAAGAAACCAACAGGGAUUGCCCUAGUAACGGCGAGUGAAGCGGCAACAGCUCAAAUUUGAAAUCUGGCGCAAGCCCGAGUUGUAAUUUGUAGAGGAUGCUUCUGGGUAGCGACCGAUCUAAGUUCCUUGGAACAGGACGUCAUAGAGGGUGAGAAUCCCGUAUGUGACCGGCCCGCACCCUUUACGUAGCUCCUUCGACGAGUCGAGUUGUUUGGGAAUGCAGCUCUAAAUGGGAGGUAAAUUUCUUCUAAAGCUAAAUACCGGCCAGAGACCGAUAGCGCACAAGUAGAGUGAUCGAAAGAUGAAAAGUACUUUGGAAAGAGAGUUAAAAAGCACGUGAAAUUGUUGAAAGGGAAGCGCCUGCAACCAGACUUCGCGGCAGUGUUCCGCCGGUCUUCUGACCGGUUCAUUCUCUGUCGCGAGGCCAUCAUCGUCUGGGCCCGCCGGAUAAGACCUGAGGAAUGUGGCUCCCCCUCGGGGGAGUGUUAUAGCCUCUGGUGAUGCGGCGUGGCUCGGGCGAGGUCCGCGCUUCGGCAAGGAUGAUGGCGUAAUGGUUGUCGGCGGCCCGUCUUGAAACACGGACCAAGGAGUCUAACAUCUAUGCGAGUGUUCGGGUGUCAAACCCCUACGCGUAAUGAAAGUGAACGGAGGUGGGAACCGCAAGGUGCACCAUCGACCGAUCCUGAUGUCCUCGGAUGGAUUUGAGUAAGAGCAUAGCUGUUGGGACCCGAAAGAUGGUGAACUAUGCCUGAAUAGGGUGAAGCCAGAGGAAACUCUGGUGGAGGCUCGCAGCGGUUCUGACGUGCAAAUCGAUCGUCAAAUUUGGGUAUAGGGGCGAAAGACUAAUCGAACCAUCUAGUAG
rnacentral:rRNA from 1 species